rnacentral:misc_RNA from 1 species
UAAUUGGUCCACCGUCCCUCCACCGUUUCCCACAACACUAAUCAACUAGAAUUCACUUCAGAAUUGAACUCAGAACCGUUCAACGCUUGUAUUCGUCGUGUGAAGAAUUCAUUAAGUCACCUGGUACUGGGUAAAGUGAUAGUCAUGGCAACGGAAAUAAACACCAUGCCCAAUAGAACAGAACAGAUGUCAAUGGAAACCAGGAGUGACCGAAACAGUUAUAGAUCUGGGUCAAUACAUGCUCGACUCUUCACGAGGUUUCCAUUUAUUAUGAUUUUCUUACAAAUCAUAAUGAUGGCGCUUCUAACCUUCCUUACUGUUUACAUCCACGGACCACCAACAUUUGACGAUGCAUCAAGUGGUAUUGAAGCUCGAGGGACUCCAAUUCAUGACCACAUAGUUCCUCUAGAAAACAUCCUUCUUGGAUCUGACGUUAUUUCUCCAAAUCCAAACCUUUCCUUGGGUAGUUCUAGCAUGUCUACCGCCAGUGACUUGGAUUCUACCACGAACUCAACAAUAUAUACUGCCGGGACUCCUUCGAUACCUAUUUGUGGAAAUCCAAGUGGGAGUAGCUUUAGGGCUGUAUACGCCCCCUCGUCUUCGGCAGUGGAACUCUUAACACUUGAAACACUACUAUCUAUGUGCCAACAAGAUGACAUCUUUGUGCGUAACAGCUCUACUUAUGAGACGGUAUGCACCAAGUUAUCUGAUUCUUCGAACCAAUGCUGUCCAUCUUGGUCCAUCCCAAACUACAUAGGCGCCCUCGCCGGGAGGUCCUCUUGUCACGAAUUGAAAGCUAAUGACGUUACAUUUGCCAGAGCACUGCUAUCGGAGUGUGCACCAUAUUAUACAUCUGGAGCUUUGUCCGCCGAUUGUGGAUCGGGUGCUGACUGCCCAGAGGUGCCAUUGAACUGCACAACUUUCAACGCCAUUUACGUCAUGCUGUUUGCAAACUCACCCAGUGACUUUUCAUGCCAGGUUGCUGAGACGGGAGACCUUUCACUAACCAAUUCCUUACAAAUUGUUUCGUUAAACUCCUCGUUUAGUACUGGACCGCGGAUGCUUUAUAACGACGCAGCAAACAGACGCUACGUGGACAAUGGUAUUACUAAGAUUGAGGCAAUAGGCACCAACAGAGUCACUAAAUUUUUCCUCAUAUCAGAACCACUAAAGCAGGAUCUAAUAUACGCCGCGAUAGGUGUUGCGGUCGUACUCCUGAUAAUGUGGUUGUAUUUAAGAUCAUUUUUUAUUGCCAUUAUGGUGAUCUUUGAAAUAAUAUUUUCUGUGUUAUUGGCAUACUUUUUAUACUUUGUCGUAUUCCGCCUUACUUUCUUUGCAUUUGGGAACAUGCUUGCUAUUAUUUUAAUAUUAGGGGUUGGAGCAGAUGAUGCAUUCAUUUUCUACGACAUAUUUGAAAAUUUAAGGAGAAAGCAUCCGGAUGCUAAACAAGAGUUCAUUUUAGACGAAACCAUGAAGCAUGCUUUUCCUACCAUGUUUGUCACAAGUUUUACCACAGCAUCUGCUUUAUUUGUCAAUGUUACCAGCUCCGUAACAAAUAUUCGCCUCUAUGGCAUUUAUGCAGGGACUGUGGUGUUGUGCAAUUUUUUGUUUACAUUGACUUGGUCUCCAGCUGCUGUCAUCAUCUAUGAUAGACAUCUAAGGCUGCUUUUCCAGGCAUCAUCGACCAGUAAGGAAACAAGUUUCCAUAAAAUGAGGAACAUUUGGCAUAAACUGCGGGCAUUCUUUCGUCGUAUCUUUGAAGUAUACCUCCCGGCGCUUGCAUUCAAACUUCGUUGUCUUUGGAUUCUUAUGUUCACUUGUAUUUCAAUUGGAGCACUCCUUGUUGUAUUCUGGUGGCCCCAGCUCAGAGCACCGACUUCAAACACAGAAUUCCAAAUCUUCACAUUGAAGCACCCACUUGAGAGGUAUGACCAGUUGUUUAGAUCAACAUUCGAUAUCGAGAGAGCUAAAUUGGCGCCUUUACAGUUCAUUGUCGUCUGGGGCACUGUUCCGAUUGACAAUGGAGAUCCUUUUGAUCCUACAAAACGCGGUUACGUUCAACUUGAUAAAUCAUUUAGUCUUGAUGACCCAGAAUCCCAAGUCUGGUUACUUAAUUUCUGCUCGGAGGUUCGACAGCAAAGUUUUUAUAGCCCACCAUCUGUUGUCUAUGAAGACUGUUUUAUUGAGAAGAUGAAGGUUUUUAUGGAAACGCCAUGUCUACCAUCAAGUAUUGGAACUGACUUCUCACCCUGCUGUGGUCAGACUUCUUUUCCAUAUUCGGCGGACUUACUGAAAUUGUGCGCUCCAAAAUACGCAGCGUUCGUCUGCGAAUCAAUAGGUGGUGGCUGUCCUGCAGCUCUUCCUGGUCUCCGAUUCGACUCAGAAAACAACAUCAAGGCAUUUUUUGUGCAGUUCCAGAGCACAACUUUGUCGCAACUGGAGUUCGAUCCUGUGAAGGACUACUUCGAUACAGCUCUUGCUUGGGUAGACGAAAAGGUUAAAACGGCUCCUGGUGGUUUACAAGGUGGCUGGUUUGGAACACAUAGUCUUGCGCAACCAUAUUAUGUUGAUCUCAUCAUUAACCUGUUACAAGAUACGCCUCUUGCAAUUGGUUUAUCAUUGAUCAUUGCAAUGGCAGUAUUGCUCAUCACCAACAAAAAUGUCCUAAUUGCAUUUUACGCUACACUGUCAAUCGGUGGUGCUGUUAUCACAUCGGUGGCAAUUUUUGUCUUGAUUGGGUGGGAUCUUAGUGUGUUUGAGUCAGUGUUGAUUAUCCUAACAGUUGGCCUUGCUACCGAUUUCACCAUUCAUUACGGGGUUGCCUACCGCCUGGCACCACACAACGACAGGAAGAACCGUGCCCAAUACUCUUUAUCAAAUCUAUCUUCUGCGAACACCAUGGCAGCCUUGUCCAGUUUCUUAGUAGGAGCACUUAUAUUACCAGCGGAUGUCUUGAUAUUCUAUCAACUUGGUAUCGCUCUAGAAGUUGUCAUCGCCGUAAGCUGGGCAUUUGGGACCCUUUUCUUCAUACCAUUAUGUUACGUAGCAGGACCCCAGGGAACUUGCUGUCUAAUCCGUUGUUGCUGUCGAAAAUCACGUGAAAACAACCAACAGUACUAACUUGAAAAUAAUGAUAGUCAAAUAUAUAUUUUUGUAAUGUUGCAGCAGCCUUGAAAAGAUGAGAGGAAAAAAUAUUUUUGUAUCAUGAGAAGUAACAAAAUAAUAUCAUUCGAGCUUUUUAAAUGAUUUCGAUGUUUGAAAAAAGGUAAAUACUUUUUUAAUCAAAAUGUAGAGAACGAAGACAAUGGGUGUAACAUUUGAAACUGGUUAUACAUGUAUGUUAUUAUGAUGUAUGUGCAGAAAAUAGUUAAUUAACAUUAAUAACUAAAUAUUCUUUGAAUUUUCGCCUUUAACCCUUUGUACGCGGAAUUAACUCAGGAGAGAUGAUUAUGUCAAUUGUAUUGAUAUUUUCUUUGAAUCUGGAAUUAGACAUUGCAUCACUCAUACUGAUACCCUAGAAGUAUAAUCAUUCAUGACCUUAAAUGUGAAGUUCAUCUUGAAGAAAAGUUUGCUGUAAAAAUAACAGAAAAGAUAAUAAAGAAUAAUGGUGAAGGUUUGAGGAAAAUCCAUUAUUAAAACUUUGAGUUUUGGAUUUGUGAUGUCAUGAACGAGCAGCUGCUUCAUACAAAAUACAUAAAUUUCGAUUUCGAUCAUGCAUAUCAUGGUCGGUGAAGUGAUAGAUGACGUCAACCCACUCACUGUUUCUUUUGUAAUGUAUUAUACCAUGAAAUAUGAAAUAUCUUUUAUUUUCUCCUCAGUAAUAUGUUUGUAAUCAAGUUUGAUUUCUCCCUGAAUAUGUGAAAUUGGCAUUGUUGUAACCUAUGUACUGUGGUUUGAUGAACAGUCUCUUACAGAAAUCAAAUAUGGAAUAAAUCGAAUGUUUCUAUAUAUUUUUUACUGUAAGGUUUGUCAUGCUUGUUAUAAAUGAAUACUGUUCAUUUCAUACUAAAUAUACAUACAUCAGCCAUACUUACGUAUACGCUAAUCUAUCAUCGUAAUAUUUAUGAUCAGAAAGGAGAUAUGCAAAUGCCCUUAAUCCAAUCAUGUGUCCUGAUAUAACAAUCAUAAAAUACUGACUUCUGUAUUUUUUCAUAGCAUUUUUCACCUCACUGCCUCUUAUCUUGCAUAUAUGUAUAUGAAAAUGUCAGAAGAACUGUGUGGGUGACUGAAGAAACAGAAAAUGUGUGAAAUGGAAUUUACAUAAUAUGCUUUUUAGAGAAAGUAGAUUUACAGCAGUUAGACCAUGACUGGAUUUUCGGUCUUUUCCAAGAUCUAUCUUCAUUUGUAUAUGGCACUUUUUGCGGAUGAAUGAAUAAAUCGAUGACCAUAAUGAAUAUUGGGUUUGAACGAAGUGCGUGUAAGCUGUGCGCAUCAUUACUCUCUUACUUUCUAUGUCAAACAUGUUAACGUAUAAAAAAAAUCUUAGUUUCGAGCAGAAGACCUCUUGCACAACAUGAAAUAAUUACCUUAAAAUAUCGUAGUGUAAAUAUUCAAUUGCAAUAUGCAGGUGCGAUGAUUGCUAGGAAUGUCAUAGGGAUAUAAGUGAUAUAUUUCGCAUGAUUUGAUUUGUCUGUCUUCAUUAGAUGUGAAAUUCUCCUGUCUGGUAGUCUUUAGUUUUAUCCAUUCAUUUAUUUUUGAUAGUCAAUGAGUCUUGUUGUGCGAUAAAUUACGAAAUUAAGUAGUAAGCAACCUUUUGAGAUCGAAUAACUUUUAAAGUUUGCAGAUGUAUAAAUUUUUUUUUUUU